rnacentral:rRNA from 1 species
AUGUCGUCGGCGUCGCUCGGCUCAUCUGCUUCUCGCGGUGGAGGGAUUCGCCGGAGAGGCGGAGCAGCAAGGUCGCCGGUGCCCUAUCGGGAGGAGCCCAUGGAGUAUGAGCCGGUGAUUUGUUGCUCCCUGUGCAGGAAGAAAGCGCCGCGGUGGAUUUCCUAGAGUCCAGCGAACCCUGGGAGGAGGUACUAUGCGUGCGUUGAAGCUCAGGUAUGCUCUGAUCUGCUGUGUUCUUGCGCUCGUUCUUCAUUUGGUUUGCUCUGUUUUUUGCUAUGGCCUCUGAUGAGUAGUUCCAUCUGA